CUUUCUUUCAUCCAAAGUCCAACAAGAAGGAGCCAGUGAAUAUUUUAGCAGAAUUGUCACUUGAAGAAAAGUGUUGUGCAGGAACAUUGACCUUGACCUCAUGGCUCAGCAUGGCUCAGAGAAGAGACCCAGAGGCAGGGAGACCAGGUCUCCAGCUCCUGGCACUUCUUACCAGUAUCAGCUUCAUCACUGCUGCUUUUAUUCUUGUGUCUGGACACCCUGGGCUUGAAAUAAAGAUGCUGCACUACUGUACUCUACACAGGACUGAAUAAUAAAGUACAGAAGAGAACAACCACUUGUAGCAGAUGCAAGCACCUGACGAUGUACGCCAGACAUGGAAACUAACUUACAUGGUUAGAUAUGCCAAUCCUCCUUAAUGCUCUUGAUCUACAUGAUGAACUCGCACCCUGCACCACAGAGUAGAACCCCUGUUUGGCCCAGGACUCAGGGAGUUGAAGUCAGG
ensembl:lncRNA